AGAGUUUGAUCCUGGCUCAGAUUGAACGCUGGCGGAAUGCUUUACACAUGCAAGUCGAACGGCAGCACGGGAGCUUGCUCCUGGUGGCGAGUGGCGAACGGGUGAGUAACGCGUCGGAACGUACCGAGUAAUGGGGGAUAACGCAGCGAAAGUUGUGCUAAUACCGCAUACGCCCUGAGGGGGAAAGUGGGGGAUCGCAAGACCUCACGUUAUUCGAGCGGCCGACGUCUGAUUAGCUUGUUGGUGGGGUAAUGGCCUACCAAGGCGACGAUCAGUAGCGGGUCUGAGAGGAUGAUCCGCCACACUGGAACUGAGACACGGUCCAGACUCCUACGGGAGGCAGCAGUGGGGAAUUUUGGACAAUGGGGGCAACCCUGAUCCAGCCAUUCCGCGUGAGUGAAGAAGGCCUUCGGGUUGUAAAGCUCUUUCAGGAGGGAAGAAACGGUUACGGAUAAUACCUGUGACUAAUGACGGUACCUUCAGAAGAAGCACCGGCUAACUACGUGCCAGCAGCCGCGGUAAUAC
rnacentral:rRNA from 1 species